CGAACGGGUGAGUAAUGCGUGACCAACCUGCCCCAUGCUCCAGAAUAGCUCUUGGAAACGGGUGGUAAUGCUGGAUGCUCCAACUUGACGCAUGUCUUGUUGGGAAAGUGUUUAGUGGCAUGGGAUGGGGUCGCGUCCUAUCAGCUUGUAGGCGGGGUAAUGGCCCACCUAGGCUUCGACGGGUAGCGGCCCGAGAGGGCGGACGGCCACAUUGGGACUGAGAUACGGCCCAGACUCCUACGGGAGGCAGCAGCC
rnacentral:rRNA from 1 species